GGGGAUGACCGGUUUCGACAAGGCAUGUGUCGGAUUUGGUUGCACUCCGAGUUUCAGCAUGGAUGGACUCGUUAAAGAAGUCUAUGCAACUGUAGAUGCAGACGAUUAUUCGUAUGCAAUGGCUGCCUAAUUAACACAUAGUUAUUUAGCCGGUCACGCCAUCUGGUGGAAGCGCUUAUUCGGAAGCCUUUUGGUGACAUAACCCGCGCUUGAGCUAACGCUCGCGCAAGUAAGCUUCACGCCUGUAUGUCCGAUGGCAGGUGUGAAUACACAAUCGGAAUAGCAAGCUGACCUUUGUCGCUGGAGUCGUAGCUUGCGAACUUCCAAACAGCGAAGAUGAGUGUGGUAGCCACCUCUUGCAAUGUCUUGGACGCGGGUUCGAGUCCCGCCAUCUCCACAA
rfam:Chloroherpeton thalassium ATCC 35110, complete genome.